AGCAUGCAACUGUAAGCAAAUCUCUUAAAGUUGUCCUCAGUGGGGAUUGAGGUCUGCAACUCGACCUCAUGAACGUGGAAUUGGUAGUAAUCGCGGGUCAGCUACACCGCGGUGAAUACGUUCUUGCCUCUUGCACACACCGCCCGUCAAGCCAACAAAGUCGAUGAUAUUUGAACCCCGAUUUAAUCGGGGGAGGAUAUUACCGGCGAUGGGGGUUAAGUCGUAACAAGGUAACCGUUCUGGAAGGAGCGGUUGGAUCACCUCCUUU
rnacentral:rRNA from 1 species